UACAGAGGGCCCGAGCGUUGCGCGGAUUCAUUGGGCUUAAAGCGUGUGCAGGCGGACUCGUAAGUGCCUUGUGAAAGCCCACAGCUCAACUGUGGAAUCGCUUGGUAGACUGCGGGUCUUGAGAUUGGUAGGGGUCGCCGGAACUCUAGGUGGAGCGGUGAAAUGCGUAGAUAUCUAGAGGAACGCCGAAGGUGAAGACAGGCGACUGGGCCAUUUCUGACGCUGAGACACGAAAGCGUGGGGAGCGAACGGG
rnacentral:rRNA from 1 species